GUAAGGAAUAUUGGACAAUGGGCGCAAGCCUGAUCCAGCCAUGACGCGUGAGUGAUGAAGGCCUUAGGGUUGUAAAGCUCUUUCGUCAGGGAAGAUAAUGACGGUACCUGAAGAAGAAGCCCCGGCUAACUUCGUGCCAGCAGCCGCGGUAAUACGAAGGGGGCUAGCGUUGCUCGGAAUCACUGGGCGUAAAGCGCGCGUAGGCGGCUUUCUAAGUCAGGGGUGAAAUCCUGGAGCUCAACUCCAGAACUGCCUUUGAUACUGGAGAGCUUGAGUUCGGGAGAGGUGAGUGGAACUGCGAGUGUAGAGGUGAAAUUCGUAGAUAUUCGCAAGAACACCAGUGGCGAAGGCGGCUCACUGGCCCGAUACUGACGCUGAGGUGCGAAAGCGUGGGGAGCAAACAGGAUUAGAUACCCGUGUAGUCC
rnacentral:rRNA from 1 species